UUCCCCCUUCUCUGCUGUUCUACUCCCUUCUCCUAUUUUCCUCCAUAGCAUCUAGCAUCAUCUACCAUGCUAAACUUACUUCUUUAGUGUCUGUUUCCUCCUACUAAAACUUGAGCUCCACAAAGGCAGAGAUUUUCACUGCUCUAUCACCAGGACCCAGAACAGUGACUAGAACAUAGUAGGGGCUUAAUUAUUUAAUGAAUGAAUGGUGCUCAAUGAAUGUCAAAAGAAUGAAUGAAUGAACUGAUCAAUCAGAGGAAAAAUUCAUAGAGGCUGUCAGAUUUCAGAGGAGAGGAGUCUCAUUUCUGGCAGGGGCAGGGCAGGCGACCAGGGGAGGCUUUCAUGGGGAGGUGAUGCGCUGUGGGGUUCACUGUACUUCCAGGGGAGAGUGGGAUCUGAGAACAACAGCAGCUCUGCCUUCACUUCUCUGCCUUCAGUAGAGGGGAGGACACUGGAGUUGGAAGUGCUAAUCAUCCUGUGAGGAAUCGCUCCUCUCGGCAGUGGAAUACUGGAAUACGCACAGGGCUGUCCAUUUAUUUUCCUUUGGCCCCAAGCAGCUGGGUCUCAUUUUCACCCUAAUUGCUUUGCUUCAGGUUGCUGUCAUUUGCCAGGAAUAGGGGCAAGCUAACUGUGCUGAUGGGAGAAACAGAUGUCAGCUCAGAGUCCUCCUCUGAGCACCUGAUCCUGGGCACAGAACAUGGGACCCCCAUGGAGGGGUCUUUAAGGACUCAUCCACGUGGUGUCCUCUGCAACCCACAUGAUUCGGCCCCAGCUGGAGUGGGAAGCAUGGAAAGGUGGAACCCCUCUCUCUGGUUUCUCAGCAACUAACACAAGGUUGUCCUGCGCUUGGGUGACUGCAGACUGGAAUGUCCUUCCUCCGCUUCUCUACGUGAAGAACUCCUGCCCAUCCUGCCAGGCCUGGCUCAGUUGUGCCCCCUUCCUAGAUCUCCCAGCCAGGCACAAAGCUCCUGCAGCAUGGGGUCUCACCUCUGCCUGGAGGCUGCCCUCGCUGCACCAGAAUUGGUGGCUUAUGGAUUUUCUGUCCUCAUGGUGGAGUCCCUGAUGCCCCGCUCCGACGGCCAUCCUCCCUCUCUUCCUUGUGCUCAGCACAGGGCCUGCUGAGGUUCAUGGGAUUAUUUGACUGCUGAGGGUAUUCAGAAUCUGUGAUUAAGCCAUGCCCUGGAGCCAGUCUAUCCUGGGUCCUGGGCCCCAGGCUUCCAUCCUUCUGCCUUCACCCAACACCCAGUUAAUGUCUCUGCAAAGCCUUAAAACAUUCCUUUAAUGACAAUAAAUAAAUAAAUAAAUAAAUAAAUAAAAUCAUAGAUUAAAAA